CAGUCGCCGCGGUAAUACGUAGGGUGCAAGCGUUAAUCGGAAUUACUGGGCGUAAAGCGUGCGCAGGCGGUUUUGUAAGACAGAGGUGAAAUCCCCGGGCUCAACCUGGGAACUGCCUUUGUGACUGCAAGGCUAGAGUACGGCAGAGGGGGAUGGAAUUCCGCGUGUAGCAGUGAAAUGCGUAGAUAUGCGGAGGAACACCGAUGGCGAAGGCAAUCCCCUGGGCCUGUACUGACGCUCAUGCACGAAAGCGUGGGGAGCAAACAGGAUUAGAUACCCCUGUAGUCCCUGUCUCUUAUAC
rnacentral:rRNA from 1 species